CGGGACGUAGCGCAGCCCGGUAGCGCACCUGAAUGGGGUUCAGGGGGUCGCGGGUUCGAAUCCCGCCGUCCCGA
rfam:Gemmatimonas phototrophica strain AP64, complete genome.